GAUGAACGCUGGCGGCGUGCCUAAUACAUGCAAGUCGAGCGAACAGACGAGGAGCUUGCUCCUCUGACGUUAGCGGCGGACGGGUGAGUAACACGUGGAUAACCUACCUAUAAGACUGGGAUAACUUCGGGAAACCGGAGCUAAUUCCGGAUAAUAUAUUAAACCGCAUGGUUCAAUAGUGAAAGACGGUUUUGCUGUCACUUAUAGAUGGAUCCGCGCCGCAUUAGCUAGUUGGUAAGGUAACGACUUACCAAGGCAACGAUGCGUAGCCGACCUGAGAGGGUGAUCGGCCACACUGGAACUGAGACACGGUCCAGACUCCUACGGGAGGCAGCAGUAGGGAAUCUUCCGCAAUGGGCGAAAGCCUGACGGAGCAACGCCGCGUGAGUGAUGAAGGUCUUCGGAUCGUAAAACUCUGUUAUUAGGGAAGAACAAAUGUGUAAGUAACUAUGCACGUCUUGACGGUACCUAAUCAGAAAGCCACGGCUAACUACGUG
rnacentral:rRNA from 1 species